AUCCUGUACUGCUGUCUCAAACAAAAAUAUGUAUUUUCAUCAAGUUUUGAUCACUGGGAAGUUGCUAAACAUGUUGCUGUUUGCUUUCAGUCGGGGACCGGUACACACGAUCAUGGUCUACAGCCGAGACAAAGCAGGAUAAUGCCCCGUGUCUCUCAUAGCGGAAUAAUGCCCCGUGUCUCUCAAAGCAGGAUAAUGCCCCGUGUCUCUCAAAGCAGGAUAAUGCCCCGUGUCUCUCUCAAAGCAGGAUAAUGCCCCGUGUCUCUCAAAGCAGGAUAAUGCCCCGUGUCUCUCUCAUAGCGGAAUAAUGCCCCGCGUCUCUCAAAGCAGGAUAAUGCCCCGUGUCUCUCAUAGCAGAAUAAUGCCCCGUGUCUCUCUCAAAGCAGAAUAAUGCCCCGUGUCUCUCUCAAAGCAGGAUAAUGCCCCGUGUCUCUCAAAGCAGGAUAAUGCCCCCGUCUCUCUCAAAGCGGAAUAAUGCCCCGUGUCUCUCAAAGCAGGAUAAUGCCCCCGUCUCUCUCAAAGCGGAAUAAUGCCCCGUGUCUCUCAAAGCGGAAUAAUGCCCCGUGUCUCUCAUAGCAGAAUAAUGCCCCGUGUCUCUCUCUCUCUCAAAGCAGAAUAAUGCCCCGUGUCUCUCUCUCAAAGCAGGAUAAUGCCCCGUGUCUCUCAAAGCAGGAUAAUGCCCCGUGUCUCUCAAAGCGGAAUAAUGCCCCGUGUCUCUCAAAGCGGAAUAAUGCCCCGUGUCUCUCUCAGCGGAAUAAUGCCCCGUGUCUCUCUCUCUCUCUCAAAGCAGAAUAAUGCCCCGCGUCUCUCUCUCAAAGCAGGAUAAUGCCCCGUGUCUCUCAAAGCGGAAUAAUGCCCCGUGUCUCUCAAAGCGGAAUAAUGCCCCGUGUCUCUCAAAGCGGAAUAAUGCCCCGUGUCUCUCAAAGCGGAAUAAUGCCCCGUGUCUCUCAAAGCGGAAUAAUGCCCCGUGUCUCUCAAAACAGGAUAAUGCCCCGUGUCUCUCAAAACAGGAUAAUGCCCCGUGUCUCUCAAAGCAGAAUAAUGCCCCGUGUCUCUCAAAGCAGAAUAAUGCCCCGUGUCUCUCAAAGCAGAAUAAUGCCCCGUGUCUCUCAAAGCAGAAUAAUGCCCCGUGUCUCUCUCAUAGCGGAAUAAUGCCCCGUGUCUCUCUCAUAGCGGAAUAAUGCCCCGUGUCUCUCAAAGCAGGAUAAUGCCCCGUGUCUCUCUCAAAGCGGAAUAAUGCCCCGCGUCUCUCAAAGCAGGAUAAUGCCCCGUGUCUCUCAUAGCAGAAUAAUGCCCCAUGUCUCUCUCAAAGCAGAAUAAUGCCCCGUGUCUCUCUCAAAGCAGGAUAAUGCCCCGUGUCUCUCAAAGCAGGAUAAUGCCCCCGUCUCUCUCAAAGCGGAAUAAUGCCCCGUGUCUCUCAAAGCAGGAUAAUGCCCCCGUCUCUCUCAAAGCGGAAUAAUGCCCCGUGUCUCUCAAAGCGGAAUAAUGCCCCGUGUCUCUCAUAGCAGAAUAAUGCCCCGUGUCUCUCUCUCUCUCAAAGCAGAAUAAUGCCCCGUGUCUCUCUCUCAAAGCAGGAUAAUGCCCCGUGUCUCUCAAAGCGGAAUAAUGCCCCGUGUCUCUCAAAGCGGAAUAAUGCCCCGUGUCUCUCAAAGCGGAAUAAUGCCCCGUGUCUCUCUCAGCGGAAUAAUGCCCCGUGUCUCUCUCUCUCUCUCAAAGCAGAAUAAUGCCCCGCGUCUCUCUCUCAAAGCAGGAUAAUGCCCCGUGUCUCUCAAAGCGGAAUAAUGCCCCGUGUCUCUCAAAGCGGAAUAAUGCCCCGUGUCUCUCAAAGCGGAAUAAUGCCCCGUGUCUCUCAAAACAGGAUAAUGCCCCGUGUCUCUCAAAACAGGAUAAUGCCCCGUGUCUCUCAAAGCAGAAUAAUGCCCCGUGUCUCUCAAAGCAGAAUAAUGCCCCGUGUCUCUCAAAGCAGAAUAAUGCCCCGUGUCUCUCAAAGCGGAAUAAUGCCCCGUGUCUCUCAAAGCGGAAUAAUGCCCCGUGUCUCUCAAAGCGGAAUAAUGCCCCGUGUCUCUCAAAGCGGAAUAAUGCCCCGUGUCUCUCAAAGCGGAAUAAUGCCCCGUGUCUCUCUCAUAGCGGAAUAAUGCCCCGUGUCUCUCUCAUAGCAGAAUAAUGCCCCGUGUCUCUCUCUCAUAGCAGAAUAAUGCCCCGUGUCUCUCAAAGCAGAAUAAUGCCCCGUGUCUCUCAAAGCAGAAUAAUGCCCCGUGUCUCUCAAAGCGGAAUAAUGCCCCGUGUCUCUCUCUCAUAGCAGAAUAAUGCCCCGUGUCUCUCAAAGCAGAAUAAAGCCCCGUCUCUCUCAAAGCAGGAUAAUCCCCCGUGUCUCUCAAAGCAGGAUAAUGCCCCGUGUCUCUCAUAGCAGAAUAAUGCCCCGUGUGUCUCAAAGCAGGAUAAUGUCCCGUGUGUCUCAAAGCAGGAUAAUGUCCCGUGUGUCUCAAAGCAGAAUAAUGCCCCGUGUCUCUCAAAGCAGAAUAAUGCCCCGUGUCUCUCAAAGCAGAAUAAUGCCCCGUGUCUCUCAAAGCAGAAUAAUGCCCCGUGUCUCUCAAAGCGGAAUAAUGCCCCGUGUCUCUCAAAGCGGAAUAAUGCCCCGUGUCUCUCAAAGCGGAAUAAUGCCCCGUGUCUCUCUCUCAAAGCGGAAUAAUGCCCCGUGUCUCUCUCUCUCUCAGCGGAAUAAUGCCCCGUGUCUCUCUCUCAAAGCGGAAUAAUGCCCCGUGUCUCUCUCUCAAAGCGGAAUAAUGCCCCGUGUCUCUCUCUCAAAGCGGAAUAAUGCCCCGUGUCUCUCUCUCAAAGCGGAAUAAUGCCCCGUGUCUCUCUCUCAAAGCGGAAUAAUGCCCCGUGUCUCUCUCUCAAAGCGGAAUAAUGCCCUGUGUCUCUCUCUCAAAGCGGAAUAAUGCCCCGUCUCUCUCUCAAAGCGGAAUAAUGCCCCGUCUCUCUCUCAAAGCGGAAUAAUGCCCCGUCUCUCUCUCAAAGCGGAAUAAUGCCCCGUGUCUCUCUCUCUCAAAGCGGAAUAAUGCCCCGUGUCUCUCUCUCUCAAAGCGGAAUAAUGCCCCGUGUCUCUCUCUCUCUCAGCGGAAUAAUGCCCCGUGUCUCUCUCAAAGCGGAAUAAUGCCCCGUGUCUCUCUCUCAAAGCGGAAUAAUGCCCCGUGUCUCUCUCUCAAAGCGGAAUAAUGCCCCGUGUCUCUCUCUCAAAGCGGAAUAAUGCCCCGUGUCUCUCUCUCUCAAAGCGGAAUAAUGCCCCGUGUCUCUCAAAGCGGAAUAAUGCCCCGUGUCUCUCUCAAAGCGGAAUAAUGCCCCGUGUCUCUCUCAAAGCGGGAUAAUGUCCCGUGUCUCUCUCAAAGCAGGAUAAUGUCCCGUGUCUCUCAUAGCAGAAUAAUGUCCCGUGUCUCUCAAAACAGGAUAAUGCCCCGUGUCUCUCAAAGAAGGAUAAUGCCCCGUCUCUCUCAAAGCGGAAUAAUGCCCCGUCUCUCUCAAAGCGGAAUAAUGCCCCGUCUCUCUCAAAGCGGAAUAAUGCCCAGUGUCUCUCUCAAAGCGGAAUAAUGCCCAGUGUCUCUCUCUCAAAGCGGAAUAAUGCCCAGUGUCUCUCUCUCAAAGCGGAAUAAUGCCCCGUGUCUCUCUCUCUCAGCGGAAUAAUGCCCCGUGUCUCUCUCUCAAAGCGGAAUAAUGCCCCGUGUCUCUCUCUCAGCGGAAUAAUGCCCCGUGUCUCUCUCUCAAAGCGGAAUAAUGCCCCGUGUCUCUCUCUCUCAGCGGAAUAAUGCCCCGUGUCUCUCUCUCUCAGCGGAAUAAUGCCCCGUGUCUCUCUCUCUCAGCGGAAUAAUGCCCCGUGUCUCUCUCUCUCAGCGGAAUAAUGCCCCGUGUCUCUCUCUCUCUCAAAGCGGAAUAAUGCCCCGUGUCUCUCUCUCUCAAAGCGGAAUAAUGCCCCGUGUCUCUCUCUCUCAGCGGAAUAAUGCCCCGUGUCUCUCUCUCUCAGCGGAAUAAUGCCCCGUGUCUCUCUCUCUCAAAGCGGAAUAAUGCCCCGUGUCUCUCUCUCUCAAAGCGGAAUAAUGCCCCGUGUCUCUCUCUCUCAAAGCGGAAUAAUGCCCCGUGUCUCUCUCUCAAAGCGGAAUAAUGCCCCGUGUCUCUCUCUCAAAGCGGAAUAAUGCCCCGUGUCUCUCUCUCAAAGCGGAAUAAUGCCCCGUGUCUCUCUCUCAAAGCGGAAUAAUGCCCCGUGUCUCUCAAAGCGGAAUAAUGCCCCGUGUCUCUCUCAGCGGAAUAAUGCCCCGUGUCUCUCUCUCUCUCUCAAAGCAGAAUAAUGCCCCGCGUCUCUCUCUCAAAGCAGGAUAAUGCCCCGUGUCUCUCAAAGCGGAAUAAUGCCCCGUGUCUCUCAAAGCGGAAUAAUGCCCCGUGUCUCUCAAAGCGGAAUAAUGCCCCGUGUCUCUCAAAACAGGAUAAUGCCCCGUGUCUCUCAAAACAGGAUAAUGCCCCGUGUCUCUCAAAGCAGAAUAAUGCCCCGUGUCUCUCAAAGCAGAAUAAUGCCCCGUGUCUCUCAAAGCAGAAUAAUGCCCCGUGUCUCUCAAAGCAGAAUAAUGCCCCGUGUCUCUCAAAGCGGAAUAAUGCCCCGUGUCUCUCAAAGCGGAAUAAUGCCCCGUGUCUCUCAAAGCGGAAUAAUGCCCCGUGUCUCUCAAAGCGGAAUAAUGCCCCGUGUCUCUCUCAAAGCGGAAUAAUGCCCCGUGUCUCUCUCAAAGCGGAAUAAUGCCCCGUGUCUCUCUCUCUCAAAGCGGAAUAAUGCCCCGUGUCUCUCUCUCUCAAAGCGGAAUAAUGCCCCGUGUCUCUCUCUCUCAAAGCGGAAUAAUGCCCCGUGUCUCUCUCUCUCUCAGCGGAAUAAUGCCCCGUGUCUCUCUCAAAGCGGAAUAAUGCCCCGUGUCUCUCUCUCAAAGCGGAAUAAUGCCCCGUGUCUCUCUCUCAAAGCGGAAUAAUGCCCCGUGUCUCUCUCUCAAAGCGGAAUAAUGCCCCGUGUCUCUCUCUCAAAGCGGAAUAAUGCCCCGUGUCUCUCAAAGCGGAAUAAUGCCCCGUGUCUCUCUCAAAGCGGAAUAAUGCCCCGUGUCUCUCUCAAAGCGGGAUAAUGUCCCGUGUCUCUCUCAAAGCAGGAUAAUGUCCCGUGUCUCUCAUAGCAGAAUAAUGUCCCGUGUCUCUCAAAACAGGAUAAUGCCCCGUGUCUCUCAAAGAAGGAUAAUGCCCCGUCUCUCUCAAAGCGGAAUAAUGCCCCGUCUCUCUCAAAGCGGAAUAAUGCCCCGUCUCUCUCAAAGCGGAAUAAUGCCCAGUGUCUCUCUCAAAGCGGAAUAAUGCCCAGUGUCUCUCUCUCAAAGCGGAAUAAUGCCCAGUGUCUCUCUCUCAAAGCGGAAUAAUGCCCCGUGUCUCUCUCAGCGGAAUAAUGCCCCGUGUCUCUCUCUCAAAGCGGAAUAAUGCCCCGUGUCUCUCUCUCAGCGGAAUAAUGCCCCGUGUCUCUCUCUCAAAGCGGAAUAAUGCCCCGUGUCUCUCUCUCUCAGCGGAAUAAUGCCCCGUGUCUCUCUCUCUCAGCGGAAUAAUGCCCCGUGUCUCUCUCUCUCAGCGGAAUAAUGCCCCGUGUCUCUCUCUCUCAGCGGAAUAAUGCCCCGUGUCUCUCUCUCUCUCAAAGCGGAAUAAUGCCCCGUGUCUCUCUCUCUCAAAGCGGAAUAAUGCCCCGUGUCUCUCUCUCUCAGCGGAAUAAUGCCCCGUGUCUCUCUCUCUCAGCGGAAUAAUGCCCCGUGUCUCUCUCUCUCAAAGCGGAAUAAUGCCCCGUGUCUCUCUCUCUCAAAGCGGAAUAAUGCCCCGUGUCUCUCUCUCUCAAAGCGGAAUAAUGCCCCGUGUCUCUCUCUCAAAGCGGAAUAAUGCCCCGUGUCUCUCUCUCAAAGCGGAAUAAUGCCCCGUGUCUCUCUCUCAAAGCGGAAUAAUGCCCCGUGUCUCUCUCUCAAAGCGGAAUAAUGCCCCGUGUCUCUCAAAGCGGAAUAAUGCCCCGUGUCUCUCUCAGCGGAAUAAUGCCCCGUGUCUCUCUCUCUCUCUCAAAGCAGAAUAAUGCCCCGCGUCUCUCUCUCAAAGCAGGAUAAUGCCCCGUGUCUCUCAAAGCGGAAUAAUGCCCCGUGUCUCUCAAAGCGGAAUAAUGCCCCGUGUCUCUCAAAGCGGAAUAAUGCCCCGUGUCUCUCAAAACAGGAUAAUGCCCCGUGUCUCUCAAAACAGGAUAAUGCCCCGUGUCUCUCAAAGCAGAAUAAUGCCCCGUGUCUCUCAAAGCAGAAUAAUGCCCCGUGUCUCUCAAAGCAGAAUAAUGCCCCGUGUCUCUCAAAGCAGAAUAAUGCCCCGUGUCUCUCAAAGCGGAAUAAUGCCCCGUGUCUCUCAAAGAGGAAUAAUGCCCCGUGUCUCUCAAAGCGGAAUAAUGCCCCGUGUCUCUCAAAGCGGAAUAAUGCCCCGUGUCUCUCUCAUAGCGGAAUAAUGCCCCGUGUCUCUCUCAUAGCAGAAUAAUGCCCCGUGUCUCUCUCUCAUAGCAGAAUAAUGCCCCGUGUCUCUCAAAGCAGAAUAAUGCCCCGUGUCUCUCAAAGCAGAAUAAUGCCCCGUGUCUCUCAAAGCGGAAUAAUGCCCCGUGUCUCUCUCUCAUAGCAGAAUAAUGCCCCGUGUCUCUCAAAGCAGAAUAAAGCCCCGUCUCUCUCAAAGCAGGAUAAUCCCCCGUGUCUCUCAAAGCAGGAUAAUGCCCCGUGUCUCUCAUAGCAGAAUAAUGCCCCGUGUGUCUCAAAGCAGGAUAAUGUCCCGUGUGUCUCAAAGCAGGAUAAUGUCCCGUGUGUCUCAAAGCAGAAUAAUGCCCCGUGUCUCUCAAAGCAGAAUAAUGCCCCGUGUCUCUCAAAGCAGAAUAAUGCCCCGUGUCUCUCAAAGCAGAAUAAUGCCCCGUGUCUCUCAAAGCGGAAUAAUGCCCCGUGUCUCUCAAAGCGGAAUAAUGCCCUGUGUCUCUCAAAGCGGAAUAAUGCCCCGUGUCUCUCUCUCAAAGCGGAAUAAUGCCCCGUGUCUCUCUCUCUCUCAGCGGAAUAAUGCCCCGUGUCUCUCUCUCAAAGCGGAAUAAUGCCCCGUGUCUCUCUCUCAAAGCGGAAUAAUGCCCCGUGUCUCUCUCUCAAAGCGGAAUAAUGCCCCGUGUCUCUCUCUCAAAGCGGAAUAAUGCCCCGUGUCUCUCUCUCAAAGCGGAAUAAUGCCCCGUGUCUCUCUCUCAAAGCGGAAUAAUGCCCCGUGUCUCUCUCUCAAAGCGGAAUAAUGCCCCGUCUCUCUCUCAAAGCGGAAUAAUGCCCCGUCUCUCUCUCAAAGCGGAAUAAUGCCCCGUCUCUCUCUCAAAGCGGAAUAAUGCCCCGUGUCUCUCUCUCUCAAAGCGGAAUAAUGCCCCGUGUCUCUCUCUCUCAAAGCGGAAUAAUGCCCCGUGUCUCUCUCUCUCUCAGCGGAAUAAUGCCCCGUGUCUCUCUCAAAGCGGAAUAAUGCCCCGUGUCUCUCUCUCAAAGCGGAAUAAUGCCCCGUGUCUCUCUCUCAAAGCGGAAUAAUGCCCCGUGUCUCUCUCUCAAAGCGGAAUAAUGCCCCGUGUCUCUCUCUCAAAGCGGAAUAAUGCCCCGUGUCUCUCAAAGCGGAAUAAUGCCCCGUGUCUCUCUCAAAGCGGAAUAAUGCCCCGUGUCUCUCUCAAAGCGGGAUAAUGUCCCGUGUCUCUCUCAAAGCAGGAUAAUGUCCCGUGUCUCUCAUAGCAGAAUAAUGUCCCGUGUCUCUCAAAACAGGAUAAUGCCCCGUGUCUCUCAAAGAAGGAUAAUGCCCCGUCUCUCUCAAAGCGGAAUAAUGCCCCGUCUCUCUCAAAGCGGAAUAAUGCCCCGUCUCUCUCAAAGCGGAAUAAUGCCCAGUGUCUCUCUCAAAGCGGAAUAAUGCCCAGUGUCUCUCUCUCAAAGCGGAAUAAUGCCCAGUGUCUCUCUCUCAAAGCGGAAUAAUGCCCCGUGUCUCUCUCUCUCAGCGGAAUAAUGCCCCGUGUCUCUCUCUCAAAGCGGAAUAAUGCCCCGUGUCUCUCUCUCAGCGGAAUAAUGCCCCGUGUCUCUCUCUCAAAGCGGAAUAAUGCCCCGUGUCUCUCUCUCUCAGCGGAAUAAUGCCCCGUGUCUCUCUCUCUCAGCGGAAUAAUGCCCCGUGUCUCUCUCUCUCAGCGGAAUAAUGCCCCGUGUCUCUCUCUCUCAGCGGAAUAAUGCCCCGUGUCUCUCUCUCUCUCAAAGCGGAAUAAUGCCCCGUGUCUCUCUCUCUCAAAGCGGAAUAAUGCCCCGUGUCUCUCUCUCUCAGCGGAAUAAUGCCCCGUGUCUCUCUCUCUCAAAGCGGAAUAAUGCCCCGUGUCUCUCUCUCUCAAAGCGGAAUAAUGCCCCGUGUCUCUCUCUCUCAAAGCGGAAUAAUGCCCCGUGUCUCUCUCUCUCAAAGCGGAAUAAUGCCCCGUGUCUCUCUCUCAAAGCGGAAUAAUGCCCCGUGUCUCUCUCUCAAAGCGGAAUAAUGCCCCGUGUCUCUCUCUCAAAGCGGAAUAAUGCCCCGUGUCUCUCUCUCAAAGCGGAAUAAUGCCCCGUGUCUCUCUCUCUCUCAGCGGAAUAAUGCCCCGUGUCUCUCUCUCAAAGCGGAAUAAUGCCCCGUGUCUCUCUCAAAGCGGAAUAAUGCCCCGUGUCUCUCUCUCUCAAAGCGGAAUAAUGCCCCGUGUCUCUCUCUCUCUCAGCGGAAUAAUGCCCCGUGUCUCUCUCUCAAAGCGGAAUAAUGCCCCGUGUCUCUCUCAAAGCGGAAUAAUGCCCCGUGUCUCUCUCUCUCAAAGCGGAAUAAUGCCCCGUGUCUCUCUCUCUCAAAGCGGAAUAAUGCCCCGUGUCUCUCUCUCUCUCAGCGGAAUAAUGCCCCGUGUCUCUCUCUCAAAGCGGAAUAAUGCCCCGUGUCUCUCUCUCAAAGCGGAAUAAUGCCCCGUGUCUCUCUCUCAAAGCGGAAUAAUGCCCCGUGUCUCUCUCUCUCAGCGGAAUAAUGCCCCGUGUCUCUCUCUCAAAGCGGAAUAAUGCCCCGUGUCUCUCUCUCUCAAAGCGGAAUAAUGCCCCGUGUCUCUCUUUCUCAAAGCGGAAUAAUGCCCCGUGUCUCUCUUUCUCAAAGCGGAAUAAUGCCCCGUGUCUCUCUUUCUCAAAGCGGAAUAAUGCCCCGUGUCUCUCUUUCUCAAAGCGGAAUAAUGCCCCGUGUCUCUCUUUCUCAAAGCGGAAUAAUGCCCCGUGUCUCUCUCUCAAAGCGGAAUAAUGCCCCGUGUCUCUCUCUCAAAGCGGAAUAAUGCCCCGUGUCUCUCUCUCAAAGCGGAAUAAUGCCCCGUGUCUCUCUCUCAAAGCGGAAUAAUGCCCCGUGUCUCUCUCUCAAAGCGGAAUAAUGCCCCGUGUCUCUCUCUCAAAGCGGAAUAAUGCCCCGUGUCUGUGGAGAGGAGGUUGUUGUGUGACUGUCUAUGUUUAUGGCAGCAUGUAGUCCUCACUCAGGGCUGUGUGUAUGGCAGCAUGUAGUCCUCACUCAGGGCUGUGUUUAUGGCAGCAUGUAGUCCUCACUCAGGGCUGUGUUUAUGGCAGCAUGUAGUCCUCACUCAGGGCUGUGUUUAUGGCAGCAUGUAGUCCUCACUCAGGGCUGUGUGUAUGGCAGCAUGUAGUCCUCACUCAGGGCUGUGUGUAUGGCAGCAUGUAGUCCUCACUCAGGGCUGUGUGUAUGGCAGCAUGUAGUCCUCACUCAGGGCUGUGUUUAUGGCAGCAUCUAGUCCUCACUCAGGGCUGUGUUUAUGGCAGCAGGUAGUCCUCACUCAGGGCUGUGUUUAUGGCAGCAGGUAGUCCUCACUCAGGGCUGUGUUUAUGGCAGCAGGUAGUCCUCACUCAGGGCUGUGUUUAUGGCAGCAGGUAGUCCUCUCAGGGCUGUGUUUAUGGCAGCAGGUAGUCCUCACUCAGGGCUGUGUUUAUGGCAGCAUGUCGUCCUCACUCAGGGCUGUGUGUAUGGCAGCAUGUAGUCCUCACUCAGGGCUGUGUUUAUGGCAGCAGGUAGUCCUCACUCAGGGCUGUGUUUAUGGCAGCAGGUAGUCCUCACUCAGGGCUGUGUUUAUGGCAGCAGGUAGUCCUCACUCAGGGCUGUGUUUAUGGCAGCAUCUAGUCCUCACUCAGGGCUGUGUGUAUGGCAGCAGGUCGUCCUCACUCAGGGCUGUGUUUAUGGCAGCAGGUAGUCCUCACUCAGGGCUGUGUGUAUGGCAGCAGGUAGUCCUCACUCAGGGCUGUGUUUAUGGCAGCAUGUAGUCCUCACUCAGGGCUGUGUUUAUGGCAGCAGGUAGUCCUCACUCAGGGCUGUGUUUAUGGCAGCAGGUAGUCCUCACUCAGGGCUGUGUUUAUGGCAGCAGGUAGUCCUCACUCAGGGCUGUGUUUAUGGCAGCAGGUAGUCCUCACUCAGGGCUGUGUUUAUGGCAGCAGGUAGUCCACUCAGGGCUGUGUUUAUGGCAGCAGGUAGUCCUCACUCAGGGCUGUGUUUAUGGCAGCAGGUAGUCCUCACUCAGGGCUGUGUUUAUGGCAGCAGGUAGUCCACUCAGGGCUGUGUUUAUGGCAGCAGGUAGUCCUCACUCAGGGCUGUGUUUAUGGCAGCAUGUAGUCCUCACUCAGGGCUGUGUUUAUGGCAGCAUGUAGUCCUCACUCAGGGCUGUGUUUAUGGCAGCAGGUAGUCCUCACUCAGGGCUGUGUUUAUGGCAGCAUGUAGUCCUCUCAGGGCUGUGUUUAUGGCAGCAUGUAGUCCUCACUCAGGGCUGUGUUUAUGGCAGCAGGUAGUCCUCACUCAGGGCUGUGUUUAUGGCAGCAUGUAGUCCUCACUCAGGGCUGUGUUUAUGGCAGCAUGUAGUCCUCACUCAGGGCUGUGUUUAUGGCAGCAGGUAGUCCUCACUCAGGGCUGUGUUUAUGGCAGCAGGUAGUCCUCACUCAGGGCUGUGUUUAUGGCAGCAGGUAGUCCUCACUCAGGGCUGUGUUUAUGGCAGCAUGUAGUCCUCACUCAGGGCUGUGUUUAUGGCAGCAUGUAGUCCUCACUCAGGGCUGUGUUUAUGGCAGCAUGUAGUCCUCACUCAGGGCUGUGUUUAUGGCAGCAGGUAGUCCACUCAGGGCUGUGUUUAUGGCAGCAGGUAGUCCUCACUCAGGGCUGUGUUUAUGGCAGCAGGUAGUCCUCACUCAGGGCUGUGUUUAUGGCAGCAGGUAGUCCACUCAGGGCUGUGUUUAUGGCAGCAGGUAGUCCUCACUCAGGGCUGUGUUUAUGGCAGCAUGUAGUCCUCACUCAGGGCUGUGUUUAUGGCAGCAGGUAGUCCUCACUCAGGGCUGUGUUUAUGGCAGCAUGUAGUCCUCUCAGGGCUGUGUUUAUGGCAGCAUGUAGUCCUCACUCAGGGCUGUGUUUAUGGCAGCAGGUAGUCCUCACUCAGGGCUGUGUUUAUGGCAGCAUGUAGUCCUCACUCAGGGCUGUGUUUAUGGCAGCAUGUAGUCCUCACUCAGGGCUGUGUUUAUGGCAGCAGGUAGUCCUCACUCAGGGCUGUGUUUAUGGCAGCAGGUAGUCCUCACUCAGGGCUGUGUUUAUGGCAGCAGGUAGUCCUCACUCAGGGCUGUGUUUAUGGCAGCAGGUAGUCCUCACUCAGGGCUGUGUUUAUGGCAGCAGGUAGUCCUCACUCAGGGCUGUGUUUAUGGCAGCAGGUAGUCCUCACUCAGGGCUGUGUUUAUGGCAGCAUGUAGUCCUCACUCAGGGCUGUGUUUAUGGCAGCAUGUAGUCCUCACUCAGGGCUGUGUUUAUGGCAGCAGGUAGUCCUCACUCAGGGCUGUGUUUAUGGCAGCAUGUCGUCCUCACUCAGGGCUGUGUUUAUGGCAGCAGGUAGUCCUCACUCAGGGCUGUGUUUAUGGCAGCAUGUAGUCCUCACUCAGGGCUGUGUUUAUGGCAGCAUGUAGUCCUCACUCAGGGCUGUGUUUAUGGCAGCAUCUAGUCCUCACUCAGGGCUGUGUUUAUGGCAGCAUCUAGUCCUCACUCAGGGCUGUGUUUAUGGCAGCAGGUAGUCCUCACUCAGGGCUGUGUUUAUGGCAGCAGGUAGUCCUCACUCAGGGCUGUGUUUAUGGCAGCAGGUCGUCCUCACUCAGGGCUGUGUUUAUGGCAGCAGGUAGUCCUCACUCAGGGCUGUGUUUAUGGCAGCAUGUAGUCCUCACUCAGGGCUGUGUUUAUGGCAGCAGGUAGUCCUCACUCAGGGCUGUGUUUAUGGCAGCAGGUAGUCCUCACUCAGGGCUGUGUUUAUGGCAGCAGGUCGUCCUCACUCAGGGCUGUGUUUAUGGCAGCAGGUAGUCCUCACUCAGGGCUGUGUGUAUGGCAGCAUCUAGUCCUCACUCAGGGCUGUGUUUAUGGCAGCAUGUAGUCCUCUCAGGGCUGUGUUUAUGGCAGCAUCUAGUCCUCACUCAGGGCUGUGUUUAUGGCAGCAUGUAGUCCUCACUCAGGGCUGUGUUUAUGGCAGCAUGUAGUCCUCUCAGGGCUGUGUGUAUGGCAGCAGGUAGUCCUCUCAGGGCUGUGUUUAUGGCAGCAUGUCGUCCUCACUCAGGGCUGUGUUUAUGGCAGCAGGUAGUCCUCACUCAGGGCUGUGUUUAUGGCAGCAUGUCGUCCUCACUCAGGGCUGUGUUUAUGGCAGCAUGUAGUCCUCACUCAGGGCUGUGUUUAUGGCAGCAUCUAGUCCUCUCAGGGCUGUGUUUAUGGCAGCAUGUAGUCCUCAAUCAGGGCUGUGUUUAUGGCAGCAUCUAGUCCUCUCAGGGCUGUGUGUAUGGCAGCAUGUCGUCCUCACUCAGGGCUGUGUUUAUGGCAGCAUGUCGUCCUCACUCAGGGCUAUGUUUAUGGCAGCAGGUAGUCCUCACUCAGGGCUGUGUUUUAUGGCAGCAUGUAGUCCUCUCAGGGCUGUGUUUAUGGCAGCAGGUAGUCCUCACUCAGGGCUGUGUGUAUGGCAGCAUGUAGUCCUCACUCAGGGCUGUGUUUAUGGCAGCAUCUAGUCCUCACUCAGGGCUGUGUUUAUGGCAGCAUGUAGUCCUCACUCAGGGCUGUGUUUAUGGCAGCAUGUAGUCCUCUCAGGGCUGUGUGUAUGGCAGCAGGUAGUCCUCUCAGGGCUGUGUUUAUGGCAGCAUGUCGUCCUCACUCAGGGCUGUGUUUAUGGCAGCAGGUAGUCCUCACUCAGGGCUGUGUUUAUGGCAGCAUGUCGUCCUCACUCAGGGCUGUGUUUAUGGCAGCAGGUAGUCCUCUCAGGGCUGUGUUUAUGGCAGCAUGUAGUCCUCACUCAGGGCUGUGUUUAUGGCAGCAGGUAGUCCUCACUCAGGGCUGUGUUUAUGGCAGCAUGUAGUCCUCACUCAGGGCUGUGUUUAUGGCAGCAUGUAGUCCUCACUCAGGGCUGUGUUUAUGGCAGCAUGUAGUCCUCACUCAGGGCUGUGUGUUUAUGGCAGCAUGUCGUCCUCACUCAGGGCUGUGUUUAUGGCAGCAUGUAGUCCUCUCAGGGCUGUGUUUAUGGCAGCAGGUCGUCCUCACUCAGGGCUGUGUGUAUGGCAGCAUGUCGUCCUCACUCAGGGCUGUGUUUAUGGCAGCAGGUAGUCCUCACUCAGGGCUGUGUUUAUGGCAGCAGGUAGUCCUCUCAGGGCUGUGUUUAUGGCAGCAGGUAGUCCUCACUCAGGGCUGUGUUUAUGGCAGUAGGUAGUCCUCACUCAGGGCUGUGUUUAUGGCAGCAUGUAGUCCUCACUCAGGGCUGUGUUUAUGGCAGCAGGUAGUCCUCACUCAGGGCUGUGUUUAUGGCAGCAUGUAGUCCUCACUCAGGGCUGUGUUUAUGGCAGCAUGUAGUCCUCACUCAGGGCUGUGUUUAUGGCAGCAGGUAGUCCUCACUCAGGGCUGUGUUUAUGGCAGCAGGUAGUCCUCACUCAGGGCUGUGUUUAUGGCAGCAGGUAGUCCUCUCAGGGCUGUGUUUAUGGCAGCAUGUAGUCCUCACUCAGGGCUGUGUUUAUGGCAGCAGGUAGUCCUCACUCAGGGCUGUGUUUAUGGCAGCAGGUAGUCCUCACUCAGGGCUGGUCUUCAGCCAACAACUGUCUACCACCGUCCUUGUACGGCUUUACUUUGGUUGUGUGGACAACAAGUUUUUUUCUGUAAACUAUAAUCUUUUGGGGAUUGAGUAUGGAUAUUGGUGAAUGUGUUUCUCUGUGCUUAUUGUCCAGGCAGUGAUUUUAAUUUGAGAAGAAAAUUGACCUUUAAAAGUUAAGAUGUUUGUGAUAUGCAUUGUGAGUGAGGUGUUGAUCGUCAUCAGGGCCUGUAUCCUUAAAUUGUCUGACUAAAAGUGCUGAUCUAGGAUCAGUUUGUCCUUUCACAUCAUAAUUGAUGAGAUGAUAUGGACAGGUGGGUUCCUGAUCCUAGAUCAGCUACUCUGAGACACUAUGCGGAUACAGGCCCAGAUGUUACUGCUCUCUUAAAUAAUGCUAUUCAAAUCACAUUGUAUUUGUCACGUGCGACAAAUACAGCAGGUGUAGGUAGACCUUACCGUGAAAUGCUUACUUACAGGCCCUUAACCAACAAUGCAGU